rnacentral:misc_RNA from 1 species
AAGUCGUAACAAGGUUUCCGUAGGUGAACCUGCGGAAGGAUCAUUACCAAAUCCAAAUCUCAACCCCAUGUGAACCUGUGUUUGUACGUCCUUGGGGGGCUCCUAAGGCUAACCCCCUUUUCAGCCCCCCAUGUUUACUAAACCACUUUGGUCUUUUCGUUGGAAUAUCUUGUAUUAGCAACUAAUAUAGGACAACUUUUAACGGUGGAUCUCUUGGCUCGUGGAUCGA